AUACAUGUACAUGUAUGCAUACCUUAUUGAGCCUGUAACAUGGGAAAUCACCAUGUGCAGAUCUAUACCUGUAUUGUUCUUAAUUCAUUAUUCUACAUUUACAGAGAAACACUGUAUAUAAAAGGCAGCUUAAACAUCAAGGAUAAAAGUAUUUUUACAAUUUAUAGUUCUCAUGUCUGCUCAUGUACUUGUUGCUUUUCUAUAAUUCGUAUGUAAACAGCUGCGGAACAUUGUUCACAAUAUUGUCAGUGAAUCAAUGGAUCUCUGACCUUGACACUGGUUACCAUGAAAUAUUGCUAUACAUUUAAUAAUGCAUCAGGUUUGUUGUUUCAUUACAGUGUUUGUGUGCUUAUGAAUGUUGUAUUUCUUCAUGUUAAGUUCAUAGCAUUUGUUCAUAGAUAUGCCUUGUAGAAAAAAUACAGAUAUAAACAUAGAAACCCUC
rnacentral:misc_RNA from 1 species